GGUAGUGGGGGAUAACGUUCGGAAAUGGACGCUAAUACCGCAUACGUCCUACGGGAGAAAGCAGGGGACCUUCGGGCCUUGCGCUAUCAGAUGAGCCUAGGUCGGAUUAGCUAGUUGGUGAGGUAAUGGCUCACCAAGGCGACGAUCCGUAACUGGUCUGAGAGGAUGAUCAGUCACACUGGAACUGAGACACGGUCCAGACUCCUACGGGAGGCAGCAGUGGGGAAUAUUGGACAAUGGGCGAAAGCCUGAUCCAGCCAUGCCGCGUGUGUGAAGAAGGUCUUCGGAUUGUAAAGCACUUUAAGUUGGGAGGAAGGGCAGUUACCUAAUACGCGAUUGUUUUGACGUUACCGACAGAAUAAGCACCGGCUAACUCUGUGCCAGCAGCCGCGGUAAUACAGAGGGUGCAAGCGUUAAUCGGAAUUACUGGGCGUAAAGCGCGCGUAGGUGGUUAGUUAAGUUGGAUGUGAAAUCCCCGGGCUCAACCUGGGAACUGCAUUCAAAACUGACUGACUAGAGUAUGGUAGAGGGUGGUGGAAUUUCCUGUGUAGCGGUGAAAUGCGUAGAUAUAGGAAGGAACACCAGUGGCGAAGGCGACCACCUGGACUGAUACUGACACUGAGGUGCGAACAGCGUGGGGAGCAAACAGGAUUAGAUACC
rnacentral:rRNA from 1 species